CAGGUGCUUGUGUUCCUCUUGAGAACAGCCGUGAAUUUUCUAGGCUUUUAAGCAGGAACACUGCUCUUCUGGAGACUCAUAUUUCCAUUCACUGAGAAACUUCAUGAAGAUUGCAUCUGAGGCUAAAGCUGCCUUUGUUUAUGCACAUGCUCGUCUCAGCUGUAGAACUCCAUGGAAGUUGCCAACACGGGAAGCAUAACUGAUGGAUGAUGAGGACGCGAGCCCCAGGUGGCCAUGAAGCAAACCCAAGAGUCAAGAUUCUUGAAUUCUGGGAAAGCUGAAAUCCCACAGUGAAUUUUGUGCCUGAUCUCUAUCUCUGCAAAGGGCAGAACCAAAAUCUCCACCCUCACAUUUCCAGCCUUUGAGGCUUGAAUUCUUUAGCAGCAUCCAAACAAGAGUAGAUAUUUGUUUCCCCAGGGACAACUAGC